AUUCCUACGGGAGGCAGCAGCAAGGAAUUUUGCGCAAUGGGCGAAAGCCUGACGCAGCAACGCCGCGUGGGGGAUGAAGGCCUUCGGGUUGUAAACCCCUUUUCUCGGGGAAGAAUAAUGACGGUACUCGAGGAAUAAGUCUUGGCUAACUACGUGCCAGCAGCCGCGGUAAUAAU
rnacentral:rRNA from 1 species